ACGGGCACGGCCGACGUCGCUGUCGCGUGCGGGAACGCGUACGCCGCCCGUCUCCUCCCGCGAUAAAAACCCACCCCCUCCCACCCUCCGUCCCCGCCUCGCCUCCUCCUCCUCCACCCCAUUUCCCCAAAGCCUCGACUCGAUCGAUCCCGUCUCCUGCCCACGCUCGGCCUCCCCCGAGGAGAUCAGGCCACCGUGCGGUGCAGACAGGGCUCGCCGGCCGUCCUCGCGCGCGCGGGAUUGUGUAGCUACCGUCUCUCUCGGCUCGCAGGCGUACGUCAUGGCGCAGCGGGACAAGAAGGUGGAGGAGCCGACGGAGGUGCACCUGCACGCCGCGGAGAUCACGCUCUGCGCCAACAGCUGCGGCUUCCCGGGCAACCCGGCCACCAAGAACCUCUGCCAGAACUGCUUCCUGGCGUCCUCCUCCUCGCCGUCGCCCUCCGCCGCCUCGCCGCAGUCUCCUUCCUCUUCGCCCGCGGCGUUCCCGCUCUUCGACAAGCCGAGGCCGGCCGCCGCUGCGUCGCCCCUGCAGGCGGCGCCCGUCUACAUGGCCGUCGACCGGCCAGCCGCCGGGCCGGCGGACCCGAAGGCGUCCAAGUCGUCCGUCAACCGCUGCCACAACUGCCGGAAGCGCGUUGGCCUGACAGGAUUCCGCUGCCGGUGCGGCGAGAUGUUCUGCGGCGCGCACCGGUACUCGGACCGGCACGACUGCAGCUACGACUACAAGUCGGCGGCCAGGGACGCCAUCGCCAGGGAAAACCCCGUGGUGCGCGCCGCCAAGAUCGUUCGGUUCUGAUCAACAGGACACCACGUCUACGCGUACCCGGCGAAAUCUGAAGCAGCAGAACCACUCUUUUCCUUUCUUUCCUUUGAAAAAUUAAAGGCGUUCGCGAGAGUUUCUUAAAGGUGAAAAAAAAGGAGAGGAAGGUGAAAGAUUGCGAUGGGGCAGCCACGACGAAGAAACAGUGCGAUGAUAACGUUGUUGUUGUAGCGGUGGUUGGCGGUGGAGAGGAGAUGAGGAGGAUGGGGUUGGUGUGUACUGUUGUCCCACAAUCUCUAUUUAAUUCAAAUUUCCCUAUUGUAUAAAUUAUUAUUAUUAUUAUCAUUUCUAUGAUGCACUAUUCGUUAACUUUAGCUGUCAACCUUUUUCUCCCACUGGCCGAGUAUUGUCCAUGACAGCUCAACCAUUGACGUUUGGAUCGCUCUGUUGGAUUGGUUCGGCGGAGAAUUAUUGGGCGUCACCCGCAAAAAUAAUAAUUCGCCAGGCGUAUGGUGAAAUCGACAUGUUUCGGGUGGGAACUCAGCGUAGCACCAAAGGCGUCCAUGAUUUUCUGUGGAUUGUGGGUCGGGGUGGUGCCACGAAGGAUAGACAGCGACGCUCCGUUUUCUGCACAGACCGCUGAUCAGAAUUCGGAAGUAACAGGACGUCCAGCCAGCUGCCGGGCUAAUUAGGUUGGCCAGCGACAUCCAUCCACCGGGUCACAGCUCAGGGCCGCGCAGAAGAUCCGUCGGCGGGUAGAAUUCAGAGCGGUGGUGGCACACGCACCGGAGACCCACCCACUUGCGGAUGGCAUCGAUCGGCAUCACCGGCACAGGUCGGCAGGCAGCACCACCACCACUGC
rnacentral:rRNA from 1 species